GAAUCUUGCGCAAUGGUCGAAAGACUGACGCAGCGACGCCGCGUGCGGGAGGAAGCCCUUCGGGGUGUAAACCGCUGUUACUCGGGACGAACUUCUCGAUUCUUCGAGAUUGACGUUACCGGGGCGGGAAGCCCCGGCUAACUCUGUGCCAGCAGCCGCGGUAAUACAGAGGGUGCGAGCGUUGUCCGGAAUCACUGGGCGUAAAGGGCGCGUAGGCGGCUUUGCAAGCGUGCGGUGAAAGCUCGGGGCUUAACUCCGAGUCUGCCGUGCGAACUGUGAGGCUUGAGUCUGGUAGAGGUCGAUGGAAUUCCGGGUGUAGCGGUGGAAUGCGUAGAGAUCCGGAAGAACACCGGUGGCGAAGGCGGUCGACUGGGCCAGUACUGACGCUGAGGCGCGACAGCGUGGGGAGCAAACAGG
rnacentral:rRNA from 1 species